rnacentral:rRNA from 1 species
CCGCGGUGAAUACGUUCCCGGGUCUUGUACACACCGCCCGUCAAACCAUGAAAGUGACCAACACCCGAAGUCCGAUUCGUCGGCCUAAGGUGGGGGGCAUGAUUGGGGUU